rnacentral:miRNA from 1 species
CGGGAGAAGCUGUAACGAUUAUG